rnacentral:rRNA from 1 species
UACGUAGGGUGCAAGCGUUGUCCGGAAUUAUUGGGCGUAAAGAGCUUGUAGGCGGUUUGUCGCGUCUGCUGUGAAAUUUCGGGGCUCAACCCCGAACUUGCAGUGGGUACGGGCAGACUAGAGUUCGGUAGGGGAGACUGGAAUUCCUGGUGUAGCGGUGAAAUGCGCAGAUAUCAGGAGGAACACCGGUGGCGAAGGCGGGUCUCUGGGCCGAUACUGACGCUGAGGAGCGAAAGCGUGGGGAGCAAACAGG